AAGUCGUAACAAGGUUUCCGUAGGUGAACCUGCGGAAGGAUCAUUAACAAUUUCCAUAAUACCCUUCUACCUUUGUGAACUGACCUUUGGCUGGGUUAUGCCGCUUUACCGCAGCAUUUAAACGUCCCGCAAAGGGUACCUGCCGUGUAUGUGGAGUGUGUGUGUGUGUCUGUCUGCCUAGCAGCAGCGCCCAUUCAUAGCCACAUGUACGCGCAAUACAUAGACUACUAUUUUAUUGUCUAAUUUUAAAAUUCUUAAACGAAUACAACUUUUAACAGUGGAUCUCUUGGCUCCU
rnacentral:misc_RNA from 1 species